UGCCGCCUGCCCAGUGAAUUAAUUUUUAACGGCCGCGGUAUCCUAACCGUGCAAAGGUAGCGUAAUCACUUGUCCUCUAAUUAAGGACUAGUAUGAACGGCUAAAUGAGGGCCCAACUGUCUCGCACGAUCACCCAAUGAACCUGAUCUCCCAGUACAAAAGCUGGGAUACCCCCACAAGACGAGAAGACCCUGUGGAACUUUCAACCUCCCCGCCGAAUACAACCCAUCCAACCAAUAGGUUGCCAAAUCCACCCUACCAUCAGCAGGAGCUUUAAGUUGGGGCAACUACGGAGCAAAACAAAACCUCCGCGAACCAAUCCCCGAGGCACACCUGCCAAGGGAACAGUACAACCAUCGACCCAGUAAUACUGACCACCGAACCAAGCUACCCCAGGGAUAACAGCGCAAUCCCCUUCAAGAGUUCCUAUCGCCAAGGGGGCUUACGACCUCGAUGUUGGAUCAGGGCCCCCCAGUGGUGCAGCCGCUA
rnacentral:rRNA from 1 species